CAGCUGGCAGAUUGAGAGGCCAACCAUUUUGGCUGCCACUGGAGACAUCUGAGUUUUCACCGCAAUGAGAUAACCAACUUGUUAAUACAUCGUUUAAAAAACAAAGUACAUUCAUACUGGUCAUUGAUGCAGUCAAUAUCCUGUGUUGUCAGUAAUCUGGCAGAGGAAUCAUGCAUCCACUACAAAUGUUUCACAGAUUUCCUGUAGGGAACUCAUCAGGUCAUAUGAUGUGACAACACCUUCCAAUGAUACAGCUACAGAACUCUGGUCGCUAUAUUGGACCCAGAUACUGCAGAAGCUCUGCCACAAGGACCAACUCCCAAAAUUUGCACUGAGAAUUAUGUCUUUGUACAAUGUAAGCAAAUUUAACUUGAAAAACCUUGCUAUGUGCCUGCCUGUGCUGGAAAACAGUUUUUAACAUUCUUCUCGACAGAGUCGUCCUUGCAAUCAAAGAUGGCCACUGACCUUUCUCUUGACCAAUAGAUUACACUGCAUUUGCCAAUUACUUAGUCUUGCUGGCUAACAGGUUUCUUCAUUCAGAAAAUAAAAGAAAACGUGUUCUUCUUGGUA